rfam:Cephalotus follicularis DNA, scaffold: scaffold2331, isolate: St1.
AGGAGCGACCAUACCAACACUAAUGCACGGGAUUCCAUCAGAACUCCGCAGUUAAGCGUGCUUGGGCGAAAAUAGUUCUAAGAUGAGCUUAUCUUAUGACUUUCAUAGACUUAGGCCAGUGGCUUGAC